rnacentral:rRNA from 1 species
UACAGAGGGUGCAAGCGUUAAUCGGAAUUACCGGGCGUAAAGCGUGCGUAGACGGUUAUGUAAGUCGGGUGUGAAAGCCCCGGGCUCAACCUGGGAAUUGCAUUCGAGACUGCAUAGCUAGGGUGCGGAAGAGGGAAGCGGAAUUUCCGGUGUAGCGGUGAAAUGCGUAGAUAUCGGAAGGAACACCAGUGGCGAAAGCGGCUUCCUGGUCCAGCACCGACGUUCAGGCACGAAAGCGUGGGGAGCAAACAGG